UUUUUUAAAGAGUCCAACAAACCAAAUUUUUAGUUUUAACUUUUUGGGUGUUUCAAAAACACCCAAAAGCCAAAACUGGAAAUUUGGUUUGUUGGACUCUUUAAAA
rnacentral:pre_miRNA from 1 species